UAAUACGGAGGGUGCAAGCGUUGUUCGGAUUUAUUGGGCGUAAAGCGCGUGUAGGCGGUUUGUUAAGUCUGAUGUGAAAGCCCCGGGCUCAACCUGGGAAGUGCAUUGGAAACUGGCAGACUUGAAUACGGGAGAGGGUAGUGGAAUUCCUAGUGUAGGAGUGAAAUCCGUAGAUAUUAGGAGGAACACCGGUGGCGAAGGCGGCUACCUGGACCGAUAUUGACGCUGAGACGCGAAAGCGUGGGGAGCAAACAGG
rnacentral:rRNA from 1 species